GAUGAACGCUGGCGGCGUGCCUAAUACAUGCAAGUCGAGCGAACGGACGAGAAGCUUGCUUCUCUGAUGUUAGCGGCGGACGGUUGAGUAACACGUGGAUAACCUACCUAUAAGACUGGGAUAACUUCGGGAAACCGGAGCUAAUACCGGAUAAUAUUUUGAACCGCAUGGUUCAAAAGUGAAAGACGGUCUUGCUGUCACUUAUAGAUGUAUCCGCGCUGCAUUAGCUAGUUGGUAAGGUAACGGCUUACCAAGGCAACGAUGCAUAGCCGACCUGAGAGGGUGAUAGGCCACACUGGAACUGAGACACGGUCAAGAAUCCUACGGGAGGCAGCAGUAGGGAAUCUUCCGCAAUGGGCGAAAGCCUGACGGAGCAACGCCGCGUGAGUGAUGAAGGUCUUCGGAUCGUAAAACUCUGUUAUUAGGGAAGAACAUAUGUGUAAGUAACUGUGCACAUCUUGACGGUACCUAAUCAGAAAGCCACGGCUAACUACGUG
rnacentral:rRNA from 1 species